GAUGAACGCUGGCGGCGUGCCUAAUACAUGCAAGUCGAGCGAAUGGAUUAAGAGCUUGCUCUUAUGAAGUUAGCGGCGGACGGGUGAGUAACACGUGGGUAACCUGCCCAUAAGACUGGGAUAACUCCGGGAAACCGGGGCCAAUACCGGAUAACAUUUUGAACCGCAUGGUUCGAAAUUGAAAGGCGGCUUCGGCUGUCACUUAUGGAUGGACCCGCAUCGCAUUAGCUAGUUGGUGAGGUAACGGCUCACCAAGGCAACGAUGCGUAGCCGACCUGAGAGGGUGAUCGGCCACACUGGGACUGAGACACGGCCCAGACUCCUACGGGAGGCAGCAGUAGGGAAUCUUCCGCAAUGGACGAAAGUCUGACGGAGCAACGCCGCGUGAGUGAUGAAGGCUUUCGGGUCGUAAAACUCUGUUGUUAGGGAAGAACAAGUGCUAGUUGAAUAAGCUGGCACCUUGACGGUACCUAACCAGAAAGCCACGGCUAACUACGUGCCAGCCGCCGCAGAAA
rnacentral:rRNA from 1 species